rnacentral:rRNA from 1 species
UUCUAUUAAACUUAAUUAAUAGUAAAAUCUGCUCAAUGAAAAUUAAAUAGCCGCUAAUGUGCUAAGGUAGUAUAAUAAUUUGUCUUUUAAUUAAAGACUAAAACAAAAGAUUUAACAUUUUAAUUAAUCUAAAUAAUUUAAUUAUUUAAAUUAUUUUAAUUCUAAAAAAAUAAUUAUACAAAAAAAAGACGACAAGACCCUAUUGAACUUAACUUUAGUUAAACUGGGGUAGUUGAUUAAAAAUAUCUUACAAUAAUUAUUUAUAUAUAAGACCUACUAAAAUAAUUAAAAAAUCAAGUUACCAUAGGGAUAACAGCGUAAUAACUCUUAAAGCUCUUAUUUCAAAAGAAAAUUACGACCUCGAUGUUGAAUAAUCUUCUAGUUCACGCAAUAGUGAAAAAAGAAAGUCUGUUCGACUUUUAAAUAAUUACA